UAGCCGGGAGCAUCUCUUCUCUAAACACUACGUGUAAGAUAUAUAAAUACUCUUUUUUUUUUUCUUUUUUCUUUAUUAGAGGAAUGGAAAAUAAAAAGUUGAGUGUUGUGAGUUUUAAAACUGUUCUGUUUAGGCGUUGAUGAACAAUCAGCAUAAAGCUUAAUACAAACGUGGAGCAUGUCUCGCUUCAUCUUAAGUAAACUAAACACUAAUUUUGUC
rnacentral:lncRNA from 1 species